rnacentral:rRNA from 1 species
CUAAACGGCCGCGGAAUUUAAACCGUGCAAAGGUAGCACAAUCACUUGCCCCUUAAAUGAGGGCCCGUAUGAAAGGCAACAUGAGAGGAGACCUGUCUCCUGGGGUAGGCCAAUGAAAUUGAACUGCCAGUACAAAAGCUGACAUAAAAAAGCAAGACGAAAAGACCCCGUGGAACUUUAAACGAAUUGCCCACACAAAAUCGAGCAAUAGUUUCAGUUGGGACAACUUUAGAAAAAAUAAACUUCUUUAACUCCACAGACCAACACGUCAAUUUACCAAAGACCCAGUUCUCACUGAUUAACGAAACAAGCUACCCCGGGGAUAACAGCGCCACCUUCUCGAAGAGCCCCUAUCAACAAGAAGAUCUACGACCUCGAUGUUGGAUCAGGAUACCCAGACGGUGCAACAGCUGUCAAAGGUUCGUUUGUUCAACGACUAACACCC